rnacentral:rRNA from 1 species
AUUGAACGCUGGCUGCAGGCCUAACACAUGCAAGUCGAACGAGUGGCGGACGGGUGAGUAAUGUCUGGGAAACUGCCCGAUGGAGGGGGAUAACUACUGGAAACGGUAGCUAAUACCGCAUACCAUCGGAUGUGCCCAGAUGGGAUUAGCUAGUAGGUGGGUGAACGGCUCACCUAGGCGACGAUCCCUAGCUGGUCUGAGAGGAUGACCAGCCACACUGGAAAUGAGACACGGUCCAGAAUCCUACGGGAGGCAGCAGUGGGGAAUAUUGCACAAUGGGCGCAAGCCUGAUGCAGCCAUGCAGCGUGGAUGAAGAAGGCCUUCGGGUUGUAAAGUACUUUCAGCGAGGAGGCGUUACGCGCAGAAGAAGCACCGGAUAACUCCGUGCCAGCAGCAGCGGUAAUUC